rnacentral:rRNA from 1 species
AUUGAACGCUGGCGGCAGGCUUAACACAUGCAAGUCGAGCGGGGGAAGGUAGCUUGCUACCGGACCUAGCGGCGGACGGGUGAGUAAUGCUUAGGAAUCUGCCUAUUAGUGGGGGACAACAUCUCGAAAGGGAUGCUAAUACCGCAUACGUCCUACGGGGGAAAGCAGGGGAUCUUCGGACACCGCGCCAAGAGAUGAUCAUAAGUCGGAUUAGCUAGUUGGUGGGGUAAAAGACUACCAAGGCGACGAUCUGUAGCGGGUCUGAGAGGAUGAUCCGCCACACUGGGACUGAGACACGGCCCAGACUCCUACGGGAGGCAGCAGUGGGGAAUAUUGGACAAUGGGGGGAACCCUGAUCCAGCCAUGCCGCGUGUGUGAAGAAGGCCUUAUGGUUGUAAAGCACUUUAAGCGAGGAGGAGGCUACUUUAGUUAAUACCUAGAGAUAGUGGACGUUACUCGCAGAAUAAGCACCGGCUAACUCUGUGCCAGCAGCCGCCGUAA